UACAGAGGUCCCAAGCGUUGUUCGGAUUCAUUGGGCGUAAAGGGUGCGUAGGCGGCGCGGUAAGUCGGGUGUGAAAUCUCGGGGCUUAACUCCGAAACUGCAUUCGAUACUGCCGUGCUUGAGGACUGGAGAGGAGACUGGAAUUUACGGUGUAGCGGUGAAAUGCGUAGAUAUCAGGAGGAACACCGGUGGCGAAGGCGGGUCUCUGGGCCGAUACUGACGCUGAGACGCGAAAGCGUGGGGAGCAAACAGG
rnacentral:rRNA from 1 species